GCCUCCCUCUGCUUUUCCUCUUGCUUCCUCCUUAACGCUCUGGAGCAGUGCUCCGUGCCUCUCUUCCCUUCUCUCCUUCACACUUUUGUGGGUCCGUCGGUCUGUCCCACCAUCCUUCCUGCAAAUGCUUCAGGAGCCCCUCCCUUAGGUGGGCCUCAGAGAGGAUGCAGAUGCCACCCAGCCUGCAGGAGCUAUGCCUGCUGCCCACUAGGUCAUCAGUUUGUCACAAAGACUUAGACACUCUCUAGCGGAACCUGGAAGAGAAGAGGAAAUCUUGGUUCUGAGUGAAGGGCUACUGGAGAGAGAGUGAUGGAAUGGGAGAGAAGGAGGAAUUCAAGAAAAGAGGAAGAGCCAGGGUAAGACUUCCGUGUCAGGAUUCUGAAGUUCUCCAGGUGAUUCCUCUCUACGGUGAGCAUUUAGAACCACUGAUUUAGGUGAAUAGACUGAAUUGACACAAGGUUAUUACCACUGGUUGGGGUAGAAUGGACAGGUUUUCACCUUUUUUGUUUUUGGUGCUAGGUUUUCACUUUUACUUAUUUAUGAGACAAGGUCUUGUGGGUGGCCCAGGCUGGUCUUGAACACUACAGGUAUCAGCCAUCACUGCCCAGCUUAGAUUUUCCCUUUUAUUUAUUUAUUUGUCCA